rnacentral:piRNA from 1 species
CUGAUCUUAUGGAGCCAAUUU